GACUACAUAUUUAUCAGUUGAUAUUGCACCACUAACUUGUAACCAUGUACUUCAUACUUAAACUGAUUCUCUUAUUUCUCUGCAUAUGUGAUGGACUGUGUCAGACUCUGCGUGAGUCUGAAUCAGUGGUUCUUAAACCUGGAGACUCCCACAAACUGACCUGCACGUACUCUGGCUUUAGCAGUGAUCCUUAUGUAGGUUGGAUCAGACAAGCAGCUGGAAAAGGGCUGGAAUGGCUUUCUGUAAUAUACACCACAUCAACAUACUAUGCACAAACAGUUCAAGGAAGAUUCACUAUCUCCAGAGACAACAGCAUGAAGCAGGUGUAUCUGCAGAUGAACAGCCUGAAGACUGAGGACACGGCUGUGUAUUACUGUGCCCGAGAUGGGGGCAGCCGCUAUUUCGACUACUGGGGGGAAAGGAACUCAAGUGACGGGUGUCUUCUGUACCAUGUGACCAAUAUGGCGAGGUGA